rnacentral:rRNA from 1 species
CAGCAGCCGCGGGAAUACGGAGGGUGCAAGCGUUAAUCGGAAUUACUGGGCGUAAAGCGCACGCAGGCGGUCCGUCAAGUCGGAUGUGAAAUCCCCGGGCUCAACCUGGGAACUGCAUUCGAAACUGGCAGGCUAGAGUAUGGGAGAGGAUGGUAGAAUUCCAGGUGUAGCGGUGAAAUGCGUAGAGAUCUGGAGGAAUACCGAUGGCGAAGGCAGCCAUCUGGCCUAAUACUGACGCUGAGGUACGAAAGCAUGGGGAGCAAACAGGAUUAGAUACCCGCGUAGUCCCUGUCUCUUAUAC